rnacentral:rRNA from 1 species
AUACGGAGGGUGCAAACGUUGUUCGGAAUUACUGGGCGUAAAGCGCGCGUAGGCGGUUUGUUAAGUCAUAUGUGAAAGUCCACAGCUCAACUGUGGAAGUGCAUUUGAAACUGGCAGACUUGAGUACUGGAGGGGGUGGUGGAAUUCCCGGUGUAGAGGUGAAAUUCGUAGAUAUCGGGAGGAAUACCGGUGGCGAAGGCGACCACCUGGCCAGAUACUGACGCUGAGGUGCGAAAGCGUGGGGAGCAAACAGAAUUAGAAACCCCAGUAGUCC